UCUGCUGUCGUCCAGCGGUUAGGACACCUGGUUUCCGCCCAGGAGACCCGGGUUCGAGUCCCGGCGGCGGAA